UACAGAGGUCCCAAGCGUUGUUCGGAUUCAUUGGGCGUAAAGGGUGCGUAGGCGGCGCGGUAAGUCGGGUGUGAAAUCUCGGAGUUUAACUCCGAAACUGCAUUCGAUACUGCCGUGCUUGAGGACUGGAGAGGAGACUGGAAUUUACGGUGUAGCAGUGAAAUGCGUAGAUAUCAGGAGGAAUACCGAUGGCGAAGGCAGGUCUCUGGGCUGACACUGACGCUCAUGCACGAAAGCGUGGGGAGCAAACAGG
rnacentral:rRNA from 1 species